CAGGAUCUUUGCUCUUCCUCCUCACUUUUCCCUUAAUACUUUUCCCCCAAAUACUCACAUGGCUUGCUCCUUCAUUUCCUUAAGUCUCUGCUCAAAUGUCCCUUCUCAGUGAGGCCUUCCCUGACCACUCCAUUUAAAAUUGCAGUGACCUGACCUCCACACCUGCUCUGGCAUCCCCACCACAUCCUGCUUCCCUGCUUAAUAUUUUUCAUAGCACUUACCCCUCCUAGUCUGUGAUAUAAUUUAUUUAUUUAUUUUGUUCAUUGUCUGUCCUCUCCCACUACCACCAUCACCACCACUAUAACGGUAAAUUCUGUAAGUCAGGAAGUUUUGUCUGUAUUAGUCAUUGAUGCUCAGCACCUAAAAGAGUAUCAGGCACAGUCAGCCUCGGACUGCAGCCUGCAAGGCUCUUCUGUCCAUGGGAUUCUCCAAGCAAGAACAUUGGAGUAGGUUACCAUGCCCUCCUCCAGGGGAUCUUCCUGACCCAGGGGUCGAACCUGCAUCUCUAAAGUCUCCUGCGUUGGAUCCACUCAAGGUUGACUUUUGGCCCCUAUGUGACUUUGGCUGGUUUCCUGACCUGGAUCCUGUGCCUCAGUUCCCACCUCUGGCAGAUACACCCUUAGCCAGGAGAUCCUUGUCCACCCAUGGAGUUGUUGUACCUCACUAUCAGAAAAGACAAUGCUCUGGAUAUAAGUUACAGGGAUCCAAGAACGUAUCCACCAGUGCAAUGUAUUGUAAAUGAAGACAUAAGAAUUUGGGUUUAUAAAUGUCUGCUGUCACCCUGUUUGUUUAACCUAUACACUGAGCACAUCAUGAGAUGCCAGGCUGGAUGAGUUACAAGCUGGAAUCAAGAUAGGUGGGAGAAACAUCAACAACCCUGAGGUUGUUGCGGAUGAUACUACUCUAAUGGCAGAAGUGAACGGUAACUAACGAGCCUCUUGAUGAGGAUGAAGCGGGACAGUGAACAAGCCAGCUUAAAACUAAAUAUUAAAAACACCUAAGAUCAACUAAAUAUUAAAAAAAAAACUAAGAUCAAGGCAUUCGGCCCCAUUACUCCAUGGCAAAUAGAAGGGGAAUUGUGGAAGUGAUGACAGAUUUCCUCUUCUUGGCUCUAAAAUCACUGUGGAUGGUGACUGUAGCCAUGAAAUCAAAAGAUAAUUGCUUCUUGGUAGGAAAGCUAUGACAAACCUAGGCAGUGUGUUGAAAAGCAGAGAUAUCACUCUGCUUACAAAGGUUUGUAGAGUCAAAGCUAUGGUUUUUCCGGUAGUCAUGCAUGAAUUCGAGAGUUGGAUCACAAAGAAGGCUGAGUGCCGAAGAACUGAUGCUUUCGAACACUCUUGAGAGUCCCUUGGACAGCCAGGAGAUCAAACUAGUCAAUCUUAAUGGAAAUCAACCCUGAAUACUUCUUAGAAGGACUGAUGCUGAAGCUAAAGCUCCAGUAUUUUGGUUAUCUGAUGUGAACAGCCAACUCUUGGAAAUGUCCCUGAUGGCGGGAAAUAUUGAGGGCAGAAGGAGAAAAGGGUGUCGGAGGAUGAGCUAGACAGAAGGCAUCACCAAUGCAGUGGACAUGAACUUGGGCAAACUUCAGGAGAUGGUGAGGGACAGGGAAGCCUGGCGUGCUUCAGUCCAUAGGAUCACAAAGAGUUUGACAUGACUAGGUGACUGAAUGACAACAUUAAUUUUGUACGAGUGUGGUUUCUACAAGUCAGUUUCCUUGAGAAACUGAAGAAUUGACAUGGCCAUGUUUCUGAACUUCCAAGGGCAAG
ensembl:lncRNA